rnacentral:rRNA from 1 species
UAAUACGAAGGUGGCAAGCGUUGUUCGGAUUUACUGGGCGUAAAGGGAGCGUAGGCGGUUGGGUAAGCCCUUUGGGAAAGCUUCCGGCUUAACCGGGAAAGGUCGAAGGGGACUGCCUGGCUAGAGGGUGGGAGAGGAGCGCGGAAUUCCCGGUGUAGCGGUGAAAUGCGUAGAGAUCGGGAGGAAGGCCGGUGGCGAAGGCGGCGCUCUGGAACAUUUCUGACGCUGAGGCUCGAAAGCGUGGGGAGCAAACAGGAUUAGAUACCCUGGUAGUCCACGCCCUAAACGAUGGACACUAAGUGUCGGCGGGUUACCGCCGGUGCCGCAGCUAACGCAUUAAGUGUCCCGCCUGGGGAGUACGGCCGCAAGGUUG